rnacentral:rRNA from 1 species
CCAAUAGCGUAUAUUAAAGUUGCUGCAGUUAAAAAGCUCGUAGUUGAAUUUCGGGACCAAUAUGUCGGUCGUGCCUCGGUACGUACUGGCAUCGUUGGUUUCUCCCUUCUGACGAACCAUGAUGUCAUUUAUUUGGUGUCGUGGGGAAUCAGGACUGUUACUUUGAAAAAAUUAGAGUGUUUAAAGCAGGCUCACGCUUGAAUACAUUAGCAUGGAAUAAUGAAAUAGGACGUUUGAUUCUAUUUUGUUGGUUUCUAGGAUCGACGUAAUGAUUAAUAGGGAUAGUUGGGGGCAUUAGUAUUCAAUUGUCAGAGGUGAAAUUCUUGGAUUUAUUGAAGACUAACUACUGCGAAAGCAUUUGCCAAGGAUGUAUUCAUUAAUCAAGAACGAAAGUUAGGGGAUCGAAGACGAUCAGAUACCGUCGUAGUCUUAACCAUAAACUAUGCCGACUAGGGAUCGGAUGAUGUUAAUUUUUUAGUGACUCAUUCGGCGCCUUACG